rnacentral:misc_RNA from 1 species
UUCGGUUGGGUUGCUGGAGGAGAUGCAGAAGAUGGAGAAGUUGGCAUUGAGUUUGAUUGAAUUUGCUGAUGGAUUUCAGUUUCCUGGGGACACAGAGAAGAUGGAGGAGGUGGCAUCGCAGGUGGCGGAGCUCGCAGAGAUUUGCGGGAAAAUGGAAGAAGGUUUGGUGCCUUUGCAGACGCAGAUUAGAGAGGUUUUUCAUAGGAUUGUAAGGAGCAGAGCAGAGAUUCUUGAAGUGUUGGAGCAUGCUGCCAAAAUUUCUCAACCUACAACAUAACGUGAGCA